rnacentral:tRNA from 1 species
GCCGGUGUGGCCCAGUGGCUAGAGCGUCGGCCUGAGGAACAGAAAGGUCCCGGGUUCGAUCCCGGUCAAGGGCA